GACGAACGCUGGCGGCGUGCCUAAUACAUGCAAGUCGUGCGGACCUUGUUGAAAGCUUGCUUUUAAAAGGUUAGCGGCGGACGGGUGAGUAAUACGUGGGCAACCUGCCUGUAAGACUGGGAUAACGCCGGGAAACCGGGGCUAAUACCAGAUCGUUUUUUCCUCCGCAUGGAGGAAAAAGGAAAGGCGGCUUCGGCUGCCACUUACAGAUGGUCCCGCGGCGCAUUAGCUAGUUGGCGGGGUAAUGGACCACCAAGGCAACGAUGCGUAGCCGAGCUGAGAGGGUGGUCGGCCACAAUGGGGAUGGGACACGGCCCAAACUCCUAAGGGAGGCAGCAGUAGGGAAUCUUCCGCAAUGGACGAAAGUCUGGCGGAGCAAAGCCGCGUGAGGGAAGAAGGCCUUCGGGUCGUAAAACUCUGUUGCCGGGGAAGAACAAGUGCCGUUCGAACAGGGCGGCGCCUUGACGGUACCCGGACAGAAAGCCACGGCUAACUACGUG
rnacentral:rRNA from 1 species